rnacentral:rRNA from 1 species
AGUCAAGAGCCGAGACUCUAUAGCGUUCUUUUGAUGUCAUCGAGCAUCGAGAAAUUUGAAUUGGUCAUUCUAAACCAUCUCAUGACAAACAAUUCAGUAACUGGAGAAAGAUUGAUGAUUGAAGCCACGCGAAUGGCUUAGAAUACGUAUCACUACUGAACGUAUAAGAACUCAG